UACAGAGGUCUCAAGCGUUGUUCGGAUUCAUUGGGCGUAAAGGGCGCGUAGGCGGCGGGGUAAGUCGGGUGUGAAAUCUCAGGGCUCAACCCUGAAACUGCACUCGAUACUGCUCUGCUUGAGGACUGGAGAGGAGACUGGAAUUCACGGUGUAGCAGUGAAAUGCGUAGAUAUCGUGAGGAAGACCAGUGGCGAAGGCGGGUCUCUGGACAGUUCCUGACGCUGAGGCGCGAAAGCUAGGGGAGCAAACAGG
rnacentral:rRNA from 1 species